rnacentral:rRNA from 1 species
GAUGAACGCUGGCGGCAUGCUUUACACAUGCAAGUCGGACGGGAAGUGGUGUUUCCAGUGGCGGCCGGGUGUGUAACGCGUAAGAACCUGCCCUUGGGAGGGGAACAAUAGCUGGAAACGGCUGUUAAUACACCGUAGGCUGAGGAGCGAAAGGAGGAAUGCGGCCAAGGGGGGGCUCGCGUGUGAGUAGCUAGGUGGGGAGGUAAUAGGUUAAACAGGCCGUGGUCAGUAGCUGGUCGGAGAGGAUGAUCAGCCACACGGGGACGGUGAGACGACGCAGACUCCGGCGGGAGGCAGCGGGGAGGAAUGUACCGCAAUGGGCGAAAGCCUGACGGAGCGAUGCGGCGUGGAGGUAAAAGGCCUAGGGGUCAUGAACUUCUGUUUCUGGAGAAGAGACAAUGACGGUAUCUGGUGAAUAAGCACCGGCUAACUCCGUG